AGAGACAGCAGCCGCCGCGGUAAGACAGAGGAUGCAAGCGUUAUCCGGAAUGAUUGGGCUUAAAGCGCACGUAGGCGGCGACAUAAGUUAGAGGUGAAAUCCCAUCGGCUCAACCGUGGAACUGCCUCUAAUACUGUGUUGCUUGAGGGAGAACGGGGCAUUCGGAACUUCCGGUGGAGCGGUGAAAUGUGUUGAUAUCGGAAGGAACGCCGGUGGCGAAAGCGGAAUGCUGGGUCUCUUCUGACGCUGAGGUGCGAAAGCUAGGGUAGCGAACGGGAUUAGAGACCCCAGUAGUCCCUGUCUCUUAUA
rnacentral:rRNA from 1 species